CACUCAGCAAAGAAAUCUAUGUCAUCAGGCCCGUAGCAGCACAAUGAGUGGAUUCAGGUAUGAUGAUUCUAACUGAAAUAAGUCACACAGAAAAAGAAACAUCAUAAGAUAUCAGUAAUACACGGAAUGUAAACUUGGCUACACAGGAACUGAAUUACAAAACAGAACAGGGUCUCAAAUUUAGAAAACCAACUUAUGCUUGCUUAAGGGGAAAGGUGAGUUGGGGUGCUGCAUAAAACCAGAGAUCGAAAUGAGC